GGGGGUAUAGCUCAGUUGGUAGAGUGCUUGCCUCACAUGCAUAAGCCCUGGGUUCAAUUCCCAGCACCCCCC
rnacentral:tRNA from 1 species